AUUGAACGCUGGCGGCAGGCCUAACACAUGCAAGUCGAACGAGUGGCGGACGGGUGAGUAAUGUCUGGGUAACUGCCUGAUGGAGGGGGAUAACUACUGGAAACGGUAGAUAAUACCGCAUACCAGCGGAUGUGCCCAGAUGGGAUUAGCUAGUAGGAGGGGUAAAGGCUCACGUAGGCGACGAUCCCUAGCUGGUCUGAGAGGAUGACCAGUCACACUGGAACUGAGUAACGGUCCCGUCUCCUACGGGAGGCACCAGUGGGGAAUAUUGCACAAUGGGCGCAAGCCUGAUGCAGCCAUGCCGCGUGUAUGAAGAAGUCCUGCGGAUUGUAAAUUAAUUUCAGCGGGGAGGCGUUACCCGCAGAAGAAGCACUGGCUAACUCCGUGCCAGCAUCCCCGGUAAUUC
rnacentral:rRNA from 1 species